AUUGAACGCUAGCGGGAUGCUUUACACAUGCAAGUCGAACGGCAGCGCGGACUUCGGUCUGGCGGCGAGUGGCGAACGGGUGAGUAAUGUAUCGGAACGUGCCCAGUAGCGGGGGAUAACUACGCGAAAGCGUAGCUAAUACCGCAUACGCCCUACGGGGGAAAGCAGGGGAUCGUAAGACCUUGCACUAUUGGAGCGGCCGAUAUCGGAUUAGCUAGUUGGUGAGGUAACGGCUCACCAAGGCGACGAUCCGUAGCUGGUUUGAGAGGACGACCAGCCACACUGGGACUGAGACACGGCCAAGACUCCUACGGGAGGCAGCAGUGGGGAAUUUUGGACAAUGGGGGCAACCCUGAUCCAGCCAUCCCGCGUGUGCGAUGAAGGCCUUCGGGUUGUAAAGCACUUUUGGCAGGAAAGAAACGUCGCGGGCUAAUACCCCGUGGAACUGACGGUACCUGCAGAAUAAGCACCGGCUAACUACGUG
rnacentral:rRNA from 1 species